rnacentral:rRNA from 1 species
UGAGGAAUAUUGGUCAAUGGGCGGGAGCCUGAAUCAGCCAAGCCGCGUGAGGGAAGAAGGCCCUAUGGGUCGUAAACCUCUUUUGUCAGGGAACAAAAGCGAGUAUGUAUACUGGUCUGAGUGUACCUGAAGAAAAAGCAUCGGCUAACUCCGUGCCAGCAGCCGCGGUAAUACGGAGGAUGCGAGCGUUAUCCGGAUUUAUUGGGUUUAAAGGGUGCGUAGGCGGCGGUGCAAGUCAGCGGUAAAAGCCCGGGGGCUCAACCCCGGCGAGCCGUUGAAACUGCAGUGCUAGAGAAGGCGAGAGGUACGCGGAAUGCGCAGUGUAGCGGUGAAAUGCUUAGAUAUUGCGCAGAACUCCGAUUGCGAAGGCAGCGUACUGGCGCCUGACUGACGCUGAGGCACGAAAGCGUGGGGAUCGAACAGGAUUAGAUACC